rnacentral:rRNA from 1 species
UACGGGGGGGGGCAAGCGUUGUUCGGAAUUACUGGGCGUAAAGGGCUCGUAGGUGGCCAACUAAGUCAGACGUGAAAUCCCUCGGCUUAACCGGGGAACUGCGUCUGAUACUGGAUGGCUUGAGGUUGGGAGAGGGAUGCGGAAUUCCAGGUGUAGCGGUGAAAUGCGUAGAUAUCUGGAGGAACACCGGUGGCGAAGGCGGCAUCCUGGACCAACACUGACGCUGAGGAGCGAAAGCCAGGGGGAGCAAACGGGG